GAUGAAGGCCUUCGGGUUGUAAAGCUCUUUUGGCGGGGACGAUGAUGACGGUACCCGCAGAAUAAGCCCCGGCUAACUUCGUGCCAGCAGCCGCGGUAAGACGAAGGGGGCUAGCGUUGUUCGGAAUUACUGGGCGUAAAGCGCGUGUAGGCGGUUGCCAUAGUCAGGUGUGAAAGCCUUGAGCUCAACUCAAGAAAUGCACUUGAUACUGGGCGACUAGAGGACCGGAGAGGAUAGUGGAAUUCCCAGUGUAGUGGUGAAAUACGUAGAGAUUGGGAAGAACACCAGUGGCGAAGGCGGCUAUCUGGACGGUUACUGACGCUAAGACGCGAAAGCGUGGGGAGCAAACAGGAUUAGAUACCCUGGUAGUCCACGCCGUAAACGAUGGGUGCUAGACGUUGGCGGGCUUGCUCGUCAGUGUCGCAGCUAACGCGUUAAGCACCCCGCCUGGGGAGUACGGCCGCAAGGUUG
rnacentral:rRNA from 1 species